CUUUAUGAAAAUGUUCUCCAGUAUGCCAAGAUGUCAAGACAAUAUUUGGAUAGUUCAAAAUGGCCGCCGUUGUCAUGGAAACUGGGGCCAAGUUUUGCAUUGACCCUAUGGAAAAAUGCAUAAAAUCAGCAUUUUCUCAGAGAGUAGUGCACCAAAGUAAAUGAAACUGUAUUGAUAUAUAACAUGACAUGUGGCAAUGAGAUGUACGCUUUUAGAAUUUUGGAAUUAUCUACUGUAACCAUGGUUGCAGCACAAAUGUUCAAAAUUUCCAAAAAAAAAUUAAGUGCUGCAAACUGGAUGAAACUUUACAGGAAUAGUGACUGACAUGUGCGGAGUUGCAUUUUGAAGUUGGAAUUUCCAAAAUGGCCGCCGUAACCAUGGAAACAGCAAAAAUUAUCAAAAAUUUCAAAAUGCUUCAAACUUAAUGAAAUUUUGCAAAAAUGAUGACUUGCAUGUGUAGAUGCACUCUUUGACUUUGAAAUUUUCAAAAUGGCUGCCGCUCGCCUGGCAAUGGGGGGACGAGGGUGCCAUCCGUUAUUGCUAGCAAUUACAAAUCUAGUUAUUUUUAUUAUUCUUCCACACAUUUUGUCCAUCGUGUUUCUAAGAAUUGAGUGACCAAUAUUGUUGGAACUAUAACAUAAUGAGGACCCCCAUUUGAAGUUGUGCACCUUGCUAUGGAAUGGUAAAAGAUGGCCGCCGUUUCCAUGGAAACAGCACAAAUGCGAAAAAAAUCAAAGUGGUCCAAACUGGAAGAAACUCCACAGGAAUGUUAACUGGCAUGUGCUGAUUUCCAGUUUGACUUUGGAAUUUUCAAAAUGGCUGCCGUUACCAUGGAAACAGCUAAAAUAUCAAAAAUUCUAACUCUUUCGUUAUAACAUCCAACUGGAUGAAACUUUAUGAAAAUGUUCUCCAGUAUGCCAAGAUGUCAAGACAAUAUUUGGAUAGUUCAAAAUGGCCGCCGUUGUCAUGGAAACUGGGGCCAAGUUUUGCAUUGACCCUAUGGAAAAAUGCAUAAAAUCAGCAUUUUCUCAGAGAGUAGUGCACCAAAGUCAAUGAAACUGUAUUGAUAUAUAACAUGACAUGUGGCAAUGAGAUGUACGCUUUUAGAAUUUUGGAAUUAUCUACUGUAACCAUGGUUGCAGCACAAAUGUUCAAAAUUUCCAAAAAAAUAAAAGUGCUGCAAACUGGAUGAAACUUUACAGGAAUAGUGACUGACAUGUGCGGAGUUGCAUUUUGAAGUUGGAAUUUCCAAAAUGGCCGCCGUAACCAUGGAAACAGCAAAAUUGUCCAAAAUUUCAAAAUGCUCCAAACUUAAUGAAAUUUUACAAAAAUGAUGACUUGCAUGUGUAGAUGCACUCUUUGACUUUGGAAUUUUCAAAAUGGCUGCCGCUCGCCUGGCAAUGGGGGACGAGGGUGCCAUCCGUUAUUGCUAGCAAUUACAAAUCUAGUUCUUAUUAUUCUUAUUCCGCACUUUUUGUCCAGCUUAGUUCUUGGAACUGAAUGGACCAAUGUUGAUGGAACUAUAACAUAAUGUUAAUCACCAUGUGUAGUUUUGCAUCUGACUUUGGAAUUAAAAAAAUGGCUGCCAUUGCCAUGGAAACAGCAAAAAUGUGAAAAAUAGAAAUGUGUUCCAAUUUAUAUGAAACUUCUAUGAUAUUAAGAGACUCAUGCACACUUCAACAUGGUACAUUUUUUUUUCAAUUGGGGGGUCUCUAGACAUAAUUUGAGGGGGGUGAAUUUUUCAUGGAACAUUCCACAUUGUUCCAGAACAUAACUGUUAAUUUAUUCUUGAGACAUUAAAUGGUAUAUGAUGGUAUAUAAUUAUGGAGAGAACAAUUUGCAGCAGAAGUUAGACUUUGGAAUUUUCAAAAUGGCCGCCGUUACUAUGGAAACAGCAAAAAUAUGAAAAACUCAAAAAUGCUUCAAAUUUAAUGAAACUUAAAACAAAUGUUGCCUAGCUAAUGUAGACUUGAGUUUUGAGUUUGGAAUUUUCAAAAUGGCUGCCGUUGCCAUGGAAACGGCACAAUUG
rnacentral:lncRNA from 1 species